UCCGAGUUGUCCCCGGCAGUCUCUUUAGAGUCCCCGGCAUGACCCGCUGGCAACUAAGGACAGGGGUUGCGCUCGUUGCGCCACUUAAGGCAACACCUCACGACACGAGCUGACGACAGCCAUGCAGCACCUGUGCACGGACUCCGAAGAGGGGCCGAUGUUUCCACCGGCUUUCCCGUGCAUGUCAAGCCCAGGUAAGGUUCUUCGCGUUGCUUCGAAUUAAACCACAUGCUCCGCUGCUUGUGCGGGUCCCCGUCAAUUCCUUUGAGUUUUAGCCUUGCGGCCGUACUCCCCAGGCGGGGCACUUAGUGCGUUAGCGACGGCACGGGAGGAGUCGACACCUCCCACACCUAGUGCCCAUCGUUUACAGCGUGGACUAC
rnacentral:misc_RNA from 1 species